CAACAACACCAGAAACGCCGGUUUUGCUGCUGCCGAAGAUUGUAAGCUGCCAUCGCUUUGGUGUCUUGGUCCCGUCCCUGGGGUUUGUUCUCAUCAAGGCAGUCACUUGGGGCAUGCUGCUCCUGCUACUGCAUCCAUCACCUCGACAGCAAAGAGCGUGUGUACCAAAUAUUCGCCGCCUGACACAUUUUAAAGGUCUGUGCAAUUCAGCAUGCUCUAUAGACUCUUACUCACAACUCACACGCAUAUAUAUAUUUUUUUCCCUUCUUCUCGGCUUUGCUCUCCAGGCUAUGGCAUCGCAGAGCUUGCAGCGCACUCCGGAAACGGGCACGGCAGUGUAGGCGGAUUCUUUCGAGUUUAAAAAGAAGCUGCGACCAUGCAACAAACGCUCUGAGACACUGGAGCUGGAAACAAGCCAGAAACCGUGCUGCUGCUCGGCUGGGGCCACAAAAAGAACUGCUCUUGGUAGUGAAUUCAUUCACCUUCACAAGGAUUUCAAAGAAAUAAUGCUCCAACAAGUCUCUCCCUCUACAGUGGGCGAAAACUCGGCGGCAGAAAAGUCUGAUGAGAUUUCUUCACGGAGGAAUAAAAUAAGGAAAAGGUAGCACUCGAUCCCUGCAGAGGAAAAAUCCUCGGUGUGGCCAAAAAGAGGGGUCAUGCGGCGACGAGAGUGACGAGAUCCGAACCAGUCAAGGUGACUGAUUGAUUUUUGAGGAGCUCGAGAUCACCCCACCCAUACUCUCAGGACUAAACAAAGGCUUGAUCCAACGCUAAGGAAAGCUGGAGAAUCAGGAUGGAUCUCUGGGGAUCUACGAUACGCGUAAACAAUCUCGGGUCCAGCCAUGCUUGAAAGAAGAAAUAAAGGGGAGUAAAGGCAUGAGCUUUUUGCUCGCUCGCUGGCCACUUUCUUUCACAGCGUUGUAUUUUAACCUCCUUUGUUGAUCUUGACGCUGGAGGCUUUGGUGGGUG